CGCGCGCCUCGCUCGCCGCGCAACCACUUCGCUCUAACGGCCCGCCGAACGUGCACGCGCGUACACGCACCGACCGACGUAAACGGCAACCGUUCGACCAGCGUGGAAAAACUGGCCGCUUCCAUUCCGCACGCACUCCCGCGUUUCAUUUUGCGGAGCAGCACUCGCCACCUCCGUUUUUUCGCCGGCCCCAAAGCGAGAUUCGACAAUGCGCGAAGGGAGAACGAGUGAGAAGCAAGAACACGGAAGAGAAAGAGAGAGAGGAGGAAAUAGACAUGAAAUGCGCCUCUUUCAGUUCCUCAUCCCACAUUUAUCUCCGUUCAUGUCCAUUAUCCACUCGGAUUACACACCGGAGGAUUCCGCUUUCGUACGCACGUAAACGGCUUUAACAUCGGGAGAUUGUUUUUUGUCCCGUACGCCCGUCAGCCAGUUCCACGAAUAUGAUGCAUUCCCCUAUCUUCAUUGUUGACACUCAGAUAUUUACUUUUCUUAUAGGUUAUACGGAAUGAGCAAAAAGUGUCCGACUAAAAUACAAAAUGUCUCGAAAACAAGACGGUUGAGAAAAAGAUGUCAUACGGAAAAAGAUGUUAUACGCAACAUUUCUGAAGGAGAGGAGGGAAGGGCAAACGAUGCGCAGCUGUCACACGGAGAAGAAGAAGAAGAAGAAGAAGAAGAAAAUCGCAACGCUAUCGUGCAAUCGCUCUUUAAAUUUCGCCAGGCUUCUCAAAGAAGAUCGAUUCCGCCGAUUGCGCCAGCAAAUAAAACGUAAUGUACGUGGAUAGGUAGGUACGUACCAUCUGUGUUUGAGCGCGGUCAGCAAACGUUUAAUGCGAGGCUGACCGACGACGGGAGGACGCAGUUUGCGUUACGGAGCUAGAGAGAACCGCUACGGUCGUUCAGGGUCCCGCGCAGGAAGCGGCCGGGGGCCUUGAUGGGCGUCGUUAUGCCUUUGUGAAUGGCUAUGGGACAAAUUACAUUGUGGGCGGCAACGGGGAAUAGGCGCGGGGGAAUAUUUUUAUAAGUUACCGAGCGUACCGAAGAGGAAAAACAAACCGCCUGAUGAACCUCGGCCCACGCCUAGAAAACGCAAGUGCUCACGAACCGUUGUGCUAAUUUGUACUUCCUCUCUCGUAUAUAUUUAUCGCCGUUUUACGAUUUUCGCGGAUUUUGCCGAACACAAUUGUUGCCGAAGUUAAAAUCGAUUCCUCCUCUUUAAGGAUAUAAAUGUAUACAUAUACAUCUGUGUCUUUUUCUUUCCUCCGCGGAAGAAUUGAGAUAGCAUUCAGAUUUAUGCGGCUCGAGAUAAAGUCGAGAGUCGGGAAUGUUAUAUGAAUUAGGUGCGAUAGCUUACGGGCAAUAACAGUCUUCGACCAGAUAGCAUCCAAUAUUUUGCGAACUGUGAGAAAUUCUCGUGGAACUUAUUUUCCGGAGAUUUUCGGAGAGCACGACGACAACGCGUAAAAAAUAUUUUGCUCGCUUAUCAAUCGUCAUCACUACAUUUUCCAAUGAAUACACCUUGCCUGGCUUUAUAUUUGUCACACUUUCAAAUGUCCGUUCUAAAGAUAAAAUUCUCGCGAAGUUAACCAAUUAUCAUAAUUUUAUUGUCAUAUAUUUGUUUACAUUGUUAUGUAUUAUCAAAC